rnacentral:rRNA from 1 species
UACGUAGGGGGCGAGCGUUGUCCGGAGUUACUGGGCGUAAAGGGCAUGCAGGCGGUCGGACGCGUUUCGGGUGACAGCGGGUGGCUUAACUACCCGAGUGGUCGAAAGACGGUUUGACUUGAGGACGCGAGAGGGACACGGAAUUCCGGGUGGAGUGGUGAAAUGCGUAGAGAUCCGGAGGAACACCAGUGGCGAAGGCGGCCCCCUGGGCCGCGCCUGACGCUGAGACGCGAAAGCGCAGGGAGCGAACGGG